CUUCUAGGAAAGAAGGGACUCAGGUUUUUUUGGAGACCCCCAUCCUCAGGGGCAGGAGGGGAGGGGAGAGGAAACCCGAGCCUGGUGAGGAGGUUAAAAGUUUGAACUUGAUCCCUGCCAAGGAGGAGUUGGGUCUCAGCUGUGAUCACUGAGCCUUUGCAUCCUGUAACCUUUUUCUGGUUACGCAUGGCAAGUACAGCACUGGCCAGGCACGUUUCUGUCGUUUACACUGAUCCACAGAAGCCUCUGUCCACAGACGACCUCAAAAUGGCAUUCACCGUAAGCAGAAUUCACCUUCAAAACGCUACAAGAAGGCCCACUCCUGGUACUACAAGUGGAUCUGUGCCCCAAGAGGGGCCACUAUGGAUGGUCAGAGGAAUUCUCAGCACCUGGUACUGCCUGAACCUGGUGUCACCCAGCAGCUGGCCCAUCACAGGUGGCUCUUUCUCUGCUCAGGAGGUGUCUGUGUCUGCCCAGGUGAGACAGGAGUCGCCUUGUGUAUUAGUCCGUUCUCAUACUGUUAAUAAAGACAUACUGCUAUGAGGAAAUACCUGAGACUGGGUAAUUUAUAAAGAAAAAGAGGUUUAAUGGAUUCACAGUUCCACAUGGCUGGUGAGGCCUCACAAUCAUGGUGAAAGGCGAAGGAGGAGCAAAGGCACGUUUUACAUGGCAGCAUGCAAGAGACCGUGUGCAGGGGAACUGCCCUUUAUAAAACCAUAAGAUCUCAUGAGACUUGUUCACUAUCAUAAGAACAGCACAGGAAAAACCUGCCCC
rnacentral:lncRNA from 10 species